CAGUAGCCACGGUAAUACGAAGGGGGCUAGCGUUGUUCGGAAUUACUGGGCGUAAAGCGCACGUAGGCGGAUAUUUAAGUCAGGGGUGAAAUCCCGCAGCUCAACUGCGGAACUGCCUUCGAUACUGGGUAUCCUGAGUAUGGAAGAGGUAAGUGGAAUUGCGAGUGUAGAGGUGAAAUUCGUAGAUAUUCGCAGGAACACCAGUGGCGAAGGCGGCUUACUGGUCCAUAACUGACGCUGAGGUGCGAAAGCGUGGGGAGCAAACAGGAUUAGAGACCCCAGUAGUCCCUGUCUCUUAUAC
rnacentral:rRNA from 1 species